rnacentral:rRNA from 1 species
UACGGGGGGGGCAAGCGUUGUUCGGAAUUACUGGGCGUAAAGGGUUCGUAGGCGGCCAACUAAGUCCGACGUGAAAUCCCCAGGCUUAACCUGGGAACUGCGUCGGAUACUGGAUGGCUUGAAUUCGGGAGAGGGAUGCAGAAUUCCAGGUGUAGCGGUGAAAUGCGUAGAUAUCUGGAGGAAUACCGGUGGCGAAGGCGGCAUCCUGGACCGACAUUGACGCUGAGGAGCGAAAGCUAGGGGAGCAAACGGG